rnacentral:rRNA from 1 species
GACGAACGCUGGCGGCGUGCCUAAUACAUGCAAGUAGAACGCAGUUGCGAACGGGUGAGUAACGCGUAGGUAACUGCCUCAUAGCGGGGGAUAACUAUUGGAAACGAUAGCUAAUAUCGCAUACUGUGAGAUUGACCUGCGUUGUAUUAGCUAGUUGGUGAGGUAAAGGCUCACCAAGGCGACGAUACAUACCCGACCUGAGAGGGGGAGCGGCCACACUGGGACUGAGUCACGGGCCAGACUCCUUCGGGAGGCAGCAGUAGGGAAUCUGCGGCAAUGGACGGAAGUCUGAACGAGCAACGGCGCGUGAGUGAAGAAGGUUUUCGGAUCGUAAAGCUCUGUUGUUAGAGAAGCGGUAACUAAAGAGAAAGGGACGGCUAACUACGUGCCAGCCGCCGCGGUAAUAG